UCCGAGUUGACCCCGGCAGUCUCCUAUGAGUCCCCGCCAUUACGCGCUGGCAACAUAGAACGAGGGUUGCGCUCGUUGCGGGACUUAACCCAACAUCUCACGACACGAGCUGACGACAGCCAUGCAGCACCUGUGUUCAGGUUCCCUUUCGGGCACCCUCGGAUCUCUCCAAGGUUCCUGACAUGUCAAGGGUAGGUAAGGUUUUUCGCGUUGCAUCGAAUUAAUCCACAUCAUCCACCGCUUGUGCGGGUCCCCGUCAAUUCCUUUGAGUUUUAAUCUUGCGACCGUACUCCCCAGGCGGUCUACUUCACGCGUUAGCUGCGUUACCAAGUCAAUUAAGACCCGACAACUAGUAGACAUCGUUUAGGGCGUGGACUAC
rnacentral:misc_RNA from 1 species